GUGGGGAAUAUUGCACAAUGGGCGGAAGCCUGAUGCAGCAACGCCGCGUGCGGGAUGACGGCCUUCGGGUUGUAAACCGCUUUCGCCUGUGACGAAGCGUGAGUGACGGUAAUGGGUAAAGAAGCACCGGCUAACUACGUGCCAGCAGCCGCGGUGAUACGUAGGGUGCGAGCGUUGUCCGGAUUUAUUGGGCGUAAAGGGCUCGUAGGUGGUUGAUCGCGUCGGAAGUGUAAUCUUGGGGCUGAACCCUGAGCGUGCUUUCGAUACGGGUUGACUUGAGGAAGGUAGGGGAGAAUGGAAUUCCUGGUGGAGCGGUGGAAUGCGCAGAUAUCAGGAGGAACACCAGUGGCGAAGGCGGUUCUCUGGGCCUUUCCUGACGCUGAGGAGCGAAAGCGUGGGGAGCGAACAGGCUUAGAUACCCCUGUAGUCC
rnacentral:rRNA from 1 species